UACAGAGGUCUCAAGCGUUUGUUCGGAUUCAUUGGGGCGUAAAGGGUGCGUAGGCGGCGCGGUAAGUCGGGUGUGAAAUCUCGGGGCUUAACUCCGAAACUGCAUUCGAUACUGCCGUGCUUGAGGACUGGAGAGGAGACUGGAAUUUACGGUGUAGCGGUGAAAAUGCGCAGAUAUCAGGAGGAACACCAAUUGCGAAGGCAGCUCGCUGGGACGUUACUGACGCUGAGACGCGAAAGCGUGGGGAGCAAACAGG
rnacentral:rRNA from 1 species